rnacentral:sRNA from 12 species
GCAACUAAGCGGUAAGACCACUGUGGGUUCCUCUGGUGUUCCCUUCCAUAGGUUAGCUAAGUCAGAGGGCAACGCACCCACAGGGCACGCUCUUUUU